rnacentral:lncRNA from 1 species
AACAAUUUACGGCAUUUUUACGCCUGACAGUCGCCGCAGAAUAUGCGAAUCAGGUGAAUAUUUUGGGCGGGAAAAUUUAAAUGAAAAUAUCCAACAUGGCGCUUUGCUCAAGGGAUUUAAAUUAUUUGUUCAUUUUCUACUUGUUUUGUUGAAAAUGUCUGACAAAAUACACAAACUGUGUGGAUGGAGGUGUUGUCAGUAUGGACAGAAGAGAUUCUGUGCCAGGGUAGCAACGAUGAUAGCAAGACAGGCUAGACAGCUGCCUGUGGUUUGAGUCUUUGAGAGAGAUGACUUGUCAACUACCUGAAAAAAUAUACAAGCAUAACUUCGAGGGAAGGCCCUUCGUUGGGGAAGAAAUUUGCAGUGGAGGCUUUUUAAGGGUAAGGUUAGUGUGUUUUAUAGAUAGACAUGUGCCUAGAUGCAUGUGAGCAUGUCGAUAUUAAAAUUGGGUUAUUCGCCUAUUCCAUUGGCAGUGCAUUCUUGUCUGCACAGGGGGGGGGGGCAGCUUGAGAACAUUGGAAAAUCCAGGGGGAAAGUUGAUUAAUUAAAUUACCUUGGAAAUCCAGGGGUUACUAAAAGCCAGGGGAGGGUCUGUGUAUCUGGCAAUGAAAUCAUAGAAAUUCCAGGGGGAUAAUUUAACUGGUAAAAAGAUGUCCUCAACCCCCCUGUGUGGAAAAUAAAUAAAUGCAAUCUACCAUUUAAAAGAUGCACUCCUAUUUGCCUAGUACUUAGAUUUUCUAACAUUCACCCACCAAGAUCUUGUUGAAAAGUGCACAAUUCUGCAGUCCGACGGUGGUGUUGAUGCAAUAAUUUACUUUAGCAUGUGAACAUUGGAGUAGAUGCCUUGUUCUUGCUUGUCAAUACAAUUUAGCAAAUAUGCACACAAACACUUUAUUUUAUAUUAACAGUAUCAAAAUUAAUAUAUUGAAUUAAUUAAUUUACUGUUUUAGCAAUAACAUUGUCUAUAAUCACACAAAAUUAUAAAAUGUUUCAAUUAGUUCAGCAAAUUUAUAGCAUCAGAGGCUAAAUAUGAUUUUCUGAUGAGAAUCUAGACUUGCUCCAAGUCAACCUCUACUAAGCUUGCUUGAGAUAUCACAAGCAAAACUACAAAUUCCUCACUAUUUUGCAAAUUACUUCCCUCUGUUUUUGUUGCUAAUUAUGUAUAAACAGAGACGAAGGACGAUGUGAAAAGUUUAAAUGGAAUCAAAUGCUCUUGACAAGUUUCAAUGAAAGAUUCAAGAGAAUAUGAAACAUAAGAAUAUGUGAUGUUUUUGUCUGUGACCAUCAUUCGAUGCAACCAAUUAUAUAGUUACAUUAACAAAUAGUAUUCAAAUUCAAUAGUAUUAAACAGUUAACAUGCUUUUAUAAUUCCUUUUUCAAUCCUUCAAUCUCUUGAAGCAAUUCCAAGCUUCGGACCUCGUGAUCCAUGUUUUUAUUCUUACAAUUACCCAAAGUGAACUUUGUUGCACUCAAAUCCUUGGUUAGUGUAUCCUUUUCUGUUUUCAAUGAACUCAGUUCAGUUUUGGUCUCUUUCAGUUUCCUGAAAAAAUAUGAUGCAUGAUUUAGAAUGCACUGUAAACCCCAAAAUGUAAGUUUGCCACGCUCAGGCCUUCCGAGUAUAACCACCCCCCCCUCCCAAGCUUAACAAGAUAAGCAUGUUUUUUCCAUGACCUUCGUUUGCAAAUUCAUUGCAUUCACAGACCGUGUCAUUGUUUUGCUUUUUUCUAAUGACCCUGCCAGAUGCUUUGUUUACAAGCUUGACAAAUAUUUCAUUAUGAACUUUUGCACUUGCAAACGGAUAGUUUGGAACAUUUAAGCAAAAGCGUACUAUAAUAUCUAGAUAAUAUAUAAUUUAGUUCUUUUUAAAUAUUUUCAUUGUCUACUACCCACGACGUAUGAC